CAGUUGGGGCAAGUAUGGACACAACAUUUAAGCUGGAUUCAGCUCUAAAUUUGGAUUGUGAUUAAAUAGUUGACACAGCAUAGGUUUCUGACACAGAAUGAAUGUGGUCUAAUGAACUUAAAAUAUUUUUUUUUGCCUUUGAGCAAUUCACUAUGCUGUUGAAUAUUAAUCCUCUCAAAAAAAAUGUUUGAAGAAAUUUUCUUUUUAUUUAUG
rnacentral:lncRNA from 1 species